rnacentral:lncRNA from 1 species
GUGGGAAGGGUUUGGGAUGAGGUUUGGAAAAUGGAGCUGCUGGGGGUGAGCGCCUGAGAGGAGUGAAGCGGUUCCUGGACUUGGGUGGUGGGUGGAUCUUGGAUGAUGGUUGGAUCCUGGAUCACAGUUGGACCUUGGAUGAUGGUUGGAUCUUGGAUGAUGUUUGGAUCUUGGGUGAGGUUUGGAUUUUGGAUGAUGUUUGGAUCCUUGAUGAGAUUGGACCUUGGAUGAUGGUUGGAUCUUGGACAGUGUUUGGAUCUUGGAUGAGGUUUGGAUCCUUGAUGAGAUUGGAUCUUGGAUGGGGUUUGGAUCUUGGAUGAGGUUUGGAUCUUGGAUGAUGGUUGGAUCUUGAAUGGGAUUGGAUCUUGGAUGAGGUUUGGAUCUUGGAUGAGAUUGGAUCUUGGAUGAGAUUGGAUCUUGGAUAAUGUUUGGAUUUUAGAAGAUGUUUGGAUCUUGGAUGAGAUUGGAUCUUGGAUCACAGUUGGACCUUGGAUGAUGGUUGGAUCUUGAUGAGGUUGGAUCUUGGAUGAUGGUUGGAUUUUGGAUGAGGUUUGGAUUUUGGAUGAGGUUUGGAUCUUGGAUGAGGUUUGGAUCUUGGAUGAUGGUUGGAUCUUGGAUGAGGUUUGGAUUUUAGAUGAUGUUUGGAUCUUGAUGAGAUUGGAUCUUGGAUGAGGUUUGGAUUUUGGAUGAGAUUGGAUCUUGGAUGAUGGUUGGAUCUUGGAUGAGGUUUGGAUCGUGGAUAGUGAUUGGACCUUCGAUCAUGGCUGGACCUUGGAUCACAUUUGGAUGUUGGAUGAUGGAUGGAUCUUGGAUGGUUGGAUCUUAGAUGAGGGCCUUGGAUCAUAUUUGGAUCUUGGAUGAGGUUUGGAUCUUCAACAGUGUUUGGAUGUUGGAGGAUGGUUGGAUCUUGGAUGGUUGGAUCUUGGGUGGCUGUUGGAUCUUGGAUGAGGUUUGGAUGUUGGAUGAUGGUUGGAUCUUGGAUGAGGUUUGGAUCUUGGACAGUGUUUAUAUCUUGGAUCACGUUUGGAUCUUGGAUGAGAUUUGGAUCGUGGAUGGUGAUUGGAUUUUGGAGCACGGUUGGAUCUUGGAUGGUUGGACCUUGGAUAACCUUCGGAUCUUGGAUGAGGUUUUCAUGUUGGAUGGUGGCUGGAUCUUGGAUCGAGGUUGGAUCGUGCGUGAUGGUGGCACCUUGGAGGAUGUUUGGAUCUUGGAUGAAGUUUGGAAGCUUUUUUGGGGGGAAAAAUCCAAAUUUCCAGUCAGGAUGAAACAGAACUCGUGGAUUCUCCACUGCCAAACCCUGUAAAUAGGAAGGGACGUGACAAAACUGACUUAAUUCAUUNAAUUUGAUGAUUUGGAAUUUUUAU